rnacentral:tRNA from 2 species
GGCCAUUUGGUCUAGUGGUAUGAUUCUCGCUUUGGGUGUGAGAGGUUCCGAGUUCGAUUCUCGGAAUGCCCC